rnacentral:tRNA from 1 species
CAUUAGAUGGCUGAAUGUAAGCUUUGGAAUUUUAAACCAUUAUAUAAUAGAAUAACACCUAUUUCUAAUGA